AUGAUUAAAUCAUGCUGAAAACACCAGUUCUCAUUCAAUCACCAAAGUUAAGCAGUGUCGAGCCCGGUUAGUAUUUCAAUGGGGGACCAUUUAGGAACACUAGGGGCUGUAA